rnacentral:rRNA from 1 species
UGGGGAAUAUUGCACAAUGGGCGCAAGCCUGAUGCAGCGACGCCGCGUGAGGGAUGGAGGCCUUCGGGUUGUAAACCUCUUUCGCCAGUGAAGCAGGCCAUCUUCUUUGUGGGGUGGUUGACGGUAGCUGGAUAAGAAGCGCCGGCUAACUACGUGCCAGCAGCCGCGGUAAUACGUAGGGCGCGAACGUUGUCCGGAAUUAUUGGGCGUAAAGAGCUCGUAGGCGGCUGGUCGCGUCUGUCGUGAAAUCCCCUGGCUUAACUGGGGGCUUGCGGUGGGUACUGGCCGGCUUGAGUGCGGUAGGGGAGACUGGAAUUCCUGGUGUAGCGGUGGAAUGCGCAGAUAUCAGGAGGAACACCGGUGGCGAAGGCGGGUCUCUGGGCCGUUACUGACGCUGAGGAGCGAAAGCGUGGGGAGCGAACAGG